GACGAACGCUGGCGGCGUGCCUAACACAUGCAAGUCGAACGAGGUCCAAGGAAGCUUGCUUCCUGAAGACCUAGUGGCGAACGGGUGAGUAACACGUGAGAAACCUGCCUCGGAGUGGGGAAUAACUCGGGGAAACUCGAGCUAAUACCGCAUACCUUCACAUGAUCGCAUGGUCGAGUGAAGAAAGAAUUUCGCUCUGAGAGGGUCUCGCGGCCUAUCAGCUUGUUGGUGGGGUAACGGCCUACCAAGGCAACGACGGGUAGCUGGUUUGAGAGAACGAUCAGCCACACCGGGACUGAGACACGGCCCAGACUCCUACGGGAGGCAGCAGUGGGGAAUCUUGCGCAAUGGGCGAAAGCCUGACGCAGCAACGCCGCGUGCGGGAUGACGGCCUUCGUGGUUGUAAACCGCUUUCAGCAGGGACGAAAUGACGGUACCUGCAGAAGAAGACCCCGGCUAACUACGUGCCAGCAGCCGCGGUAAU
rnacentral:rRNA from 1 species